rnacentral:rRNA from 1 species
UACGGAGGGUGCAAGCGUUAAUCGGAAUUACUGGGCGUAAAGCGCACGUAGGUGGUUUGCUAAGUCAGCUGUGAAAUCCCCGGGCUCAACCUGGGCACUGCAGUUGAAACUGGCAAGCUAGAGUAGGGUAGAGGGGUGUGGAAUUCCAGGUGUAGCGGUGAAAUGCGUAGAUAUCUGGAGGAACAUCAGUGGCGAAGGCGACACCCUGGACUCAUACUGACACUGAGGUGCGAAAGCGUGGGGAGCGAA